UAUCUCUCUCACCACCCUCCAUCGUCUGCCGUCGCCGAAAAUCGUCCAUGGCAGCGGCCCGUCGCCAAAUACCCCCAAAAUAUCACCCCAUAAUCCCCAACCUCCUCUCAUCACUAAUCUACCGUCAAUUUUUUCAAAAUCCCUGUCGCAUUCCAUGAAUUGCAGAUCUCAGAAUUCUAAAAAAUAAAAUAAAAUCUCCUUUUAUCAUUUCUCGAUCAAAUCGGCCAUGAUUACGGUUGAAAUUUACAUCAAUGGAUAGCUCUUGACAAGAGCUAUCAAUUGAUGUAAGAUUUAACCCGUUUUUUAAUUGUCGGAUUUUCGUCAACCGGUCGUUGACCGGUUAGGUGCUCUCCAAUUGACCUUUUCUGCUUUUCCGGCUUGCUGGAAUCAUUUUUCUCAAUCUGUUGAAACUCAGUAGGGAGGAUUCACAUUAAAGAGGUAAAUACCUUUAAUAAAUCAUGGGAAAUGGAAGGGAAGAACAUGAACUGGGUUUGAUUAUUAGUGUAAAGUGGCUGUAAUUGUAAUAAAUAGCGUUGAGUCAUCAGAUGGUUUAAAUCUAUGAAUUUGAUUCUAGUUUGGCAUUGUAUCUUGUUUCAAUUCAUUACAAAUGUAUUUCAAAUUUGAAACCCAACUUAUGAAGAUUGAUUAUCUCCAGAA